rnacentral:lncRNA from 1 species
UUGAAGAUGACUGAAGCUAUCUGUAGAUCAUAUCUUUGGACAGGUUCUGCCACAAUUUCAAGGAAGACUCUGAUUGCCUGAGAUACUCUAUGUAUGCCAUACAGUACAGGGGGACUGAAUGUAUUGAACCUAUCUAAAUGGAAUAAGGCUGUUGUUGUUAAGCAUCUAUGGGCACUGACUAAGAAGAAGGAUAGCCUAUGGAUAAAAUGGGUUCAUACCUUCUAUAUUAAGAACUACUGUCUUGAAGACAUGCCGGUGCCUGGGGCUGCUGCCUGGGCAAUCAGGAAAAUUUUUGAGUCGAGAAAGUUGAUCAAAGGCAUUGCAACACUCGCAUACCUUCUAUAUUAAGAGCUACUAUUUUGAAGACAUGCCAGUGCAUGGGGCUGCUGCUUGGGCAAUAAGGAAAAUUUUUGAGUCGAGAGAAUGGAUCAAAGGCAUUGCAACACUCAAUGAAAAUCUGGACAACAAAUUGAGGCAGUUCAGCAGGGUGAGUCUUUUAGCAUCAGGAAGCUAUAUAGACAACUUCUACCUCAGUACAACAAAGUACAAUGGAAGUCCAUCAUAUUGCAGCCUUAACUACAUCCCAGGUACAAAUUUAUAAUGUGGUUGGCUUUGCAUAGGCGACUUGCAACUGUGGAUAGACUCCAGAUGUUAAAUAUUUUGAUUCCACAAGAUUGUAUUUUCUGUGGUUUGCAUCGAGAAACCUUUNNN